AACGAACGCUGGCGGCAGGCUUAACACAUGCAAGUCGAACGCCCCGCAAGGGGAGUGGCAGACGGGUGAGUAACGCGUGGGAAUCUACCCAGAUCUACGGAACAACAGUUGGAAACGACUGCUAAUACCGUAUACGCCCUACGGGGGAAAGAUUUAUCGGAUUUGGAUGAGCCCGCGUAAGAUUAGCUAGUUGGUGGGGUAAUGGCCUACCAAGGCGACGAUCUUUAGCUGGUCUGAGAGGAUGAUCAGCCACACUGGGACUGAGACACGGCCCAGACUCCUACGGGAGGCAGCAGUUAGGAAUAUUGGACAAUGGGCGCAAGCCUGAUCCAGCCAUGCCGCGUGAGUGAUGAAGGCCUUCGGGUUGUAAAGCUCUUUAGCCGACGAAUAUAAUGACUGUAGUCGGAGAAUAAGCCCCGGCUAACUUCGUGCCAGCAGCCGCCGUAAGAC
rnacentral:rRNA from 1 species